AGCAUUAUACAGCGAAACUGCGAAUGGCUCAUUAUAUAAGUUAUCGUUUAUUUGAUAGUGCCUUACUACUUGGAUAACCGUGGUAAUUCUAGAGCUAAUACAUGCUGAAAGCCCCGACUCACGGAGGGGCGUAUUUAUUAGAUUAAAAACCAAUGCCCUUCGGGGCUCCUUGGUGAUUCAUGAUAACUUCUCGAAUCGCACGGCCUUGUGCCGGCGAUGGUUCAUUCAAAUUUCUUCCCUAUCAACUUUCGAUGUUUGGGUAGUGGCCAAACAUGGUGGCAACGGGUAACGGAGGGUUAGGGCUCGACCCCGGAGAAGGAGCCUGAGAAACGGCUCCUACAUCCAAGGAAGGCAGCAGGCGCGCAAAUUACCCAAUCCCGACUCGGGGAGGUAGUGACAAUAAAUACUGAUGCAGGGCUCUUUAGGGUCUUGCAAUUGGAAUGAGUACAAUUUAAAUCCCUUAACGAGGAACAAUUGGAGGGCAAGUCUGGUGCCAGCAGCCGCGGUAACUCCAGCUCCAAUAGCGUAUAUUAAAGUUGUUGUGGUUAAAAAGCUCGUAGUUGAACCUUGGGCCUGGCCGUCCGGUCCGCCUCACCGCGUGCACUGGCACGGCCGGGCCUUCCCACCGCGGAAUCGCAUGCCCUUUACUGGGCGUGUCGGGGAAGCGGUACUUUUACUGUGAAAAAAUUAGAGUGCUCUAAGCAGGCCUAUGCUCGAAUACAUUAGCAUGGAAUAAUAGAAUAGGACAGGCGUUCUAUUUUGUUGGUUUCUAGGACGUCUGUAAUGAUUAACAGAAACAAUCGGGGGCGUCAGUAUUGCAUCGUCAGAGGUGAAAUUCUUAGAUCGACGCAAGACUAACUACUGCGAAAGCAUUCGCCAAGGGUGUUUUCAUUAAUCAGGAACGAAAGUUAGGGGAUCGAAGACGAUCAGAUACCGUCGUAGUCUUAACCAUAAACUAUGCCGACUAGGGAUCGGGCGGUGUUAAUUUUUGACCCGCUCGGCACCUUACGAGAAAUCUUAAGUGCUUGGGCUCCAGGGGGAUAUGGU
rnacentral:rRNA from 1 species